ACCUACGGGAGGCAGCAGUGGGGAAUAUUGGACAAUGGGGGGAACCCUGAUCCAGCGACGCCGCGUGAGUGAAGAAGUAUUUCGGUAUGUAAAGCUCUAUCAGCAGGGAAGAAAGAAAUGACGGUACCUGACUAAGAAGCCCCGGCUAACUACGUGCCAGCAGCCGCGGUAAUACGUAGGGGGCAAGCGUUAUCCGGAUUUACUGGGUGUAAAGGGAGCGUAGACGGCGUGUCAAGUCAGCGGUAAAAUGUCGGGGCUCAACCCCGGCCGGCCGUUGAAACUGGCGUGCUCGAGUUGGAGAGAAG
rnacentral:rRNA from 1 species